AAGGAGUUAGUUAAAGUAUAACAUUAGAGUGUCAAUCUAAAAUAACUAACAUUAUAUUAGUACACCUUG
rnacentral:tRNA from 2 species